AUUGAACGCUGGCGGCAGGCCGAAAAGAGGAAAGGAGAGGGGAGGAAGGGAGCUUGAGAGGGGAGGGAGAGGUGGACGGGUGAGUAAUGUUUAGGAAUUGGAGGGGUAGUGGGGGAUAACGUCCGGAAAAGGGCGUUAAUACAGCAUAGGAAUUGAGGGAGAAAGUGGGGGAUCUUUGGACCUCACGCUAUCAGAUGGGCCUAGGUCGGAUUAGCUAGUUGGUGGGGUAAAGGCCUACCAAGGCGACGAUCCGUAACUGGUCUGAGAGGAUGAUCAGUCACACUGAAACUGAGACACGCUCCAGACUCCUACGGGAGGCAGCAGUGGGGAAUAUUGGACAAUGGGCGAAAGCCUGAUCCAGCCAUGCCGCGUGUGUGAAGAAGGUCUUCGGAUUUUAACCCCCUUUCCAUUCAUAUGAAGGGCAGUAAGUUAAUACCUUGCUGUUUUGACUAUACCAACAGAAUAAGCACCAGCUCCCUUCGUG
rnacentral:rRNA from 1 species